rnacentral:rRNA from 1 species
ACGCUCGACACCUACGGGAGGAGCAGUGGGGAAUAUUGCACAAUGGAGGAAACUCUGAUGCAGCGAUGCCGCGUGAGGGAAGAAGGUUUUCGGAUUGUAAACCUCUGUCUUUGGGGACGAUAAUGACGGUACCCAAGGAGGAAGCUCCGGCUAACUACGUGCCAGCAGCCGCGGUAAUCUGAGGCGGGCGUGGCGAAGGC